rnacentral:lncRNA from 1 species
AGAUGUAAGCCACUAUGUUCGCAAAGGACAUUGAAAGAAAGACUACUUGGAUAUACUAGCUAAAAAAAGGAUGCCAAUGAGUUUUUCAUUGUCGAGUAUUGUUUGGUGGUUGAUUUUACAAAUUUCUAGAUUGUGGACUCUGGAGCCACUAAUCAUAUAUGCAUUUUAAUGAAGGUGAUUUAGGAAAGCAGAAGACUUAGUGAGGACCAGUUUAAAACAAUUAUCGGCACAUAAGUUAUAGUUUCAAC